UACGUAGGGGGCGAGCGUUGUCCGGAUUCAUUGGGCGUAAAGCGCUUUAAGGCGGUUCGGUAAGUCGGGUGUGAAACCUCCAGGCUCAACCUGGAGACGCCACUCGAUACUGCUGUGACUAGAGUUCGGUAGGGGAUCACGGAAUUCCUGGUGUAGCGGUGAAAUGCGCAGAUAUCAGGAGGAACACCGGUGGCGAAGGCGGGUCUCUGGGCCGAUAUUGACGCUGAGGAGCGAAAGCGUGGGGAGCGAACAGG
rnacentral:rRNA from 1 species